CAACAUCAGCUUAAGGUACGUGCUAAUCCCUUGGGUAACCAAGCCUCUGCGAUGAGACCCGACAGGUCGAAGCGCAUGGGAGCAGCAACGGUAAAACGUUGCUGCUGGAGUUGGGCUCUCUUGGAGGCUGCAACCCCCCCGAGAGAGCCCUCUAGAUGCUGUGAUGCCCUUAGAUAUUCUGGGCCGCACGCGCGCUACACUGACAGAGCCAACGAGUUCAUCACCUUGGCCGGAAGGUCUGGGUAAUCUUG
rnacentral:rRNA from 1 species